rnacentral:misc_RNA from 1 species
CUUCCGGUGCUGCCAGUCCGUGGGUCGUGAAGGGGGUUUUUGUAAACAUGGCGUUUUCCCCGAACGUUUUGCUGGGCGGGCGUGUCUGCGCAGCGGUUGCUCGCAGUGGGUUUGCUACCCGGAGGGUGACCAUCCCGGGCUCUACCAGCCGAGAGCCGGACCCCGAUUUCGACUGGGAACCGGAGGAGCGAGAACUGCAGGAGGUGGAGAGGUACCGACUCCUUCCCGGGCCCUCAGCCUGAAGCAGGGCCUCGGUCUGGGCGCCCUUGUCCGCGCCCGGUUGGCGCUGGGCGUCCUGCAGCAGCCCUUCUCACCCGUUUUUAGGGACGCAGGGGCAGGUGUUAGAUCCUUUGGGACCACAGGUCCUUUCACCAAGGACGUAUUUCAUCACCCGACUGAAGAAUUCAGCAACAGCUUAUGGGCUGCUGUUCUUGGUGUUAGACUUCUGGGGCGGUGUUCUGGCUGGCCGACAUGGCCACGUAGUGUUUGCAAAGUGAAGUGCGCUGGACGCUCUGUGACUGACCCCAAGGCUCUUAAACCACCCAUCUAGCGUCUAUGCAUGGUUUCUGCCAUUGGUUCUCUCCCCCAGCGCCCUGAAACGACAGAAAAAAGCCAUCCGGUUCCAGAAAAUUCGAAGGCAAAUGGAGGCGUCAGGUGCCCCACCCAGGACCCUGACGUGGGAAGCCAUGGAGCAGAUCCGGUAUUUACACAGGGAAUUUUCAGAGUCUUGGUCAGUUCCCAGAUUGGCUGAAGGCUUUGAUGUCAGCACCGAUGUGAUCCGAAGGGUUUUAAAAAGCAAGUUCAUACCCACAUUGGAACAGAAACUGAAACAGGAUCAAAAAGUGCUUAAGAAAAUCGGACUUGCCCGUUCGAUCCCGGAGCUCCCAGGCCCUGGAGAUUCCUCCAAACCGCUUUCUGCAGGCCAGUCUGUAUCAGGUUCUUUGCUGAUUCCUGGGGAUGAAGCCUCAUCCAGAGGCCAUGGUCACAGCACAGCUUUGAAAGCUAUUGAAUUGAAUACUCAGAGUACAAAUAUAACAACGAGGCAGACGGAAAGGAAUAAAGGAGUCCAGGGCCUGGAGGAGGGGAAGGACUUUGUGCCUGUUGCUGCAGGUCACCCUACCAGCACUUGUAGGGGCGCCAGAGGAAUUGACAGUGAUGGAUUACCCAGUGACAAGAGGCUGGAAGAGCUGAAGGCAGGGGAGGCAGGUGACCAGAUCUUCAGCAAGAGAGUCGUGCAGAGGGGACGAGAGUUCUUUGACAGCAAUGGGAACUUCCUGUACAGAAUCUGAGCUGGAGAUGUGCCAUGUGACACACAGCUGGGCGAGUAUAUUUGGUUCUGAAGCCUGGGUUUCUGUGUGUGGAUUUCCACCUUGGAAGUGGGGGGGAACCAUGAGCCUGGAAUGUGGGAUGAAAGGUUUGAAUCUGACAAAGGGCAGAGGACUUCACAGGGCAGAUGUGUCUGGGAGCAGGGCAGUGACCCGCCAGGUAGAGUCCAGCUUCCUGGAGCACAGCCCCUGCUCUGACCCACAUGCAUCGUCAGGAUUCACCCUUCUCCCUUGGGCUGUGUGUGUGCUGAAAAACCUGUAUUGCAUGUGUUGUUACAAGUUUCUGUGAUACUUGCAGUAUAUUUGGGAGGAGAUUAAGUUUGUUUUCUCACCUCAUUUACUUCUUGAUUAAUGAACACUUGACGGUUCUGGAACUGCUUAGUCAAUUGGUUGUCCUCAUUAUGUGCAAAAUAAAGCAAAAUGAAGCA